AAAAAACAACAGGCCGUCUCCAGGCAGUAACUUCCUCUCAGGCUUCCAGAAAUAUCUCAGAUACAGAAGACUAAGAGACUUCAGAAACUUUCAGCUGUGACACAGAAGGUUGUGGUAUCCAAAGCAACCUACCAAAUAUUUUUGUCAGCUGAAGAGAAUUCUGUCCCUUCCACUCCAUGUGGAUAUGCUACCUGAAGAAGCUCCUUGGCAGGAGAGAACAAGAGAACAAGCAUGUCUGCUGGUACCAGGUACAGGCUCACUGACCAGAUUACAAAACCACCAGCUUCAGAGGCUGCUGGGGAAAGCAAAACAAUCUUCACAAGAGUCAAAUACACAGAACGAACGACUACAGAG